UAUGUGUAUGCCUUUUCUGGGAACCCUGUGGAGAGGUAGCCCAAGGUACCCAAAGGCUGCUGAUCUCUGACCCGGGUCCUGCAAAUUUAAAACCAGUUUACCCUAUCAAAUAGCAAAGCAACGCCUUCUUGCUCUCUAGCCCCCACUGUAGUCCGAGAAAGAGGAUAUCGCCUAGAGCAGCAGAGUAGCUCAGAAGCACUUAGAAACCAGAGGUUAUGGGAGGAGGGAAAAACUGAGGAUACAAGAAAUCUCAGUCUGGUAAAGACCAUAGGAGUCGGAGAUAAUGAUCCAAGCCCCUUUGAGGGGUCCUUUAUUCUGAAAGAUGUGAGCUCUUUACCCUGGUGGUCCACCUGACAAAGAAAGGAGGGGAGGAGAGAGAAUGGAGGGAGAGGAGUUGUUAUCCGGAAGGGACACUCUUGCCCCCUGAUCUCUCAGUCCUGGACUGGGGAAAGAACAGUUGAAACAGCCCACCUGCCAACCCAAAAGCUGCAAGUCACGUAAUGAUCCGGUAUCAGAAAAAGACGUCACCAUCCAAUUCCUCAAGGAACAUAUUAACUACUCUGUGCUGUCCUCAUGGAUGAGAUGAUCCAGUCAUCAACUUCUCAUAAACACCUCUCACUCACACAUUCCAUUUUUUAGAAGUCUAAUUAUUUUGAUGCUUCUCAAAUUUGCCUGUUUCUUAAAGAAAAGAAAAUCACACAGAGAAUUAAGAAGAUCAGAAAGUUAAUUUUUGUAACCAUGUCCCUUCUGGUUAUUAUUACUAUUUUGUCAAGUCUCUCCAAACAAAGAUUCAGUCCCGAAUUAAAAAAACGAUAACUCUCCUCCUAUCAAAUGAGUUUAAUUUAGAUGUCCUUGUCUUUUGCAUAUAUUCUUGAAGACAGAAAAUUAAAUUAAGAGAAGUGUUGUGUUUUUAAAAGACGUUUUGAAGUCUAGGAGAAUUUUCGGAAAAUCUCUAAUUAGACUAACUGUAAUUGACAGACUGACUAGUGGGUGGAAUGAUUAGUGGAAAGUACACUGAGUUCCCAGAGUGGAGCUGUCCAAGCUCUGGGGUGCUGAGCUGUCUGGAUGCUAAAGCCACAAAACUCAGAAAUCGCCUCUAUCACCAGCUUGUUGUCACUAAAGCUCUGAAAUAUGAAGAAUUACUGGAAAAAAAAACAUUUUGUGUGAGCAAUUUUCACUGUAAAAAAAUCAUGAUAAUAAAAAAAAAUUCCAACUUCCAGUGAAUAUAUCAUUAUUCCUCAUAAUGAUGGAAACACUUCCUGCGCCAUUUCUUAUAUUUGAGAAAAGAUUAGCCAAAAGUCUCAUGUUGUUCCUUUGUUCCUGGAUCAUUGGAUCGUUUCUUCUUAACUUUCAAUAGCCAACACCAUUUAUUAAAAAUUGAAGACUGUCGAGUAUUUUGUUCUAUUUUAUAUGAAGAAAAAGGGACAUUGUUCGAAUUUGGGGCAAUGAGGAAUAUAAUUUUUUUACUUUCUUUACUGAACACAACAAAAUUGAAUCUGUGCCUAGAAUUCAGUAUGUGGCGAAGUGAACACAGACUGGAAAAGCUCGAAGUUUCCCAUUAAAAGUUCAUUUGCUCAGGGACUCUUAACGGGAAUCCCUCCUCUGGGAACUCUUUAAUCUACAAGCUUUUUCUUUUCUUUUCUUUUCUUUUUUUUACUGAAAAUGACGUGGAGAUGGCAGAACGGAAGGAGAGAAGACCACGGCCACAAGAGCUUUCUAAGUCUCUGCAUAAAUUUAGCUGAUCCACAUCUAUCCAUCCAGUGCAAGAAUGUAGGUUUAUUUCCUAUAAAGCUAAGAAAUAUAGCCACCAAUGGUCACUACUGUGCGUUUUAAUGAUUUGGAUCUUUAAAAAUAGAUGAAAUGAUAACAAUUUCUUUAAUUUCACAUUCCUAUGAUUUGAAUCUAGUAUGUAUAAAAUACCUAUUUUAGUUCAACUUGAAUAUUCCAAAAUGUAAAAAGAGUACUUCUUAAUCUCUCUCUCCCUCCCUCCUCUCUCUCUCCUUUCCCCUUCUCCUUUUACCUUUCUCCCUUCCUUCCUCUCCCAUUCUCUUUCUCUCUUUCAGGCUGUUCCCAAGAAGCAAAAUGAUUCUUUUCUUAUGUUUCUAGUAAUAACUAAGAAUUCCCAGUUAAGACACUAUUAACAUAUUCCAUAUAAUACCUAGUUAAGAUCAGAUAGCCUGUAAUAAUUAAACUCUCCAAAAUGCAUUUGUUUGCACAAGUAUUUAUUUAUGUCCUCUAUGCACAUGUACUCAUACAUAUAUCUAUCAUCUGUAUGCAUGUAUGUAUACAUACAUACAUAUAUAAAAUAUUUCAUCCUAUGAAAGACACCUAAAAGUUAGCCAUGAACCUGGCUAAAUAAACUUCAGGAAAUGCCUAAAAU